rnacentral:rRNA from 1 species
AUUCCAAGCUUAGAGUUUGAUCAUGGCUCAGAUUGAACGCUGGCGGCAGGCCUAACACAUGCAAGUCGAACGGUAACAGGAAGCAGCUUGCUGCUUCGCUGACGAGUGGCGGACGGGUGAGUAAUGUCUGGGAAGCUGCCUGAUGGAGGGGGAUAACUACUGGAAACGGUAGCUAAUACCGCAUAAUGUCGCAAGACCAAAGAGGGGGACCUUCGGGCCUCUUGCCAUCGGAUGUGCCCAGAUGGGAUUAGCUUGUUGGUGGGGUAACGGCUCACCAAGGCGACGAUCCCUAGCUGGUCUGAGAGGAUGACCAGCCACACUGGAACUGAGACACGGUCCAGACUCCUACGGGAGGCAGCAGUGGGGAAUAUUGCACAAUGGGCGCAAGCCUGAUGCAGCCAUGCCGCGUGUAUGAAGAAGGCCUUCGGGUUGUAAAGUACUUUCAGCGGGGAGGAAGGGAGUAAAGUUAAUACCUUUGCUCAUUGACGUUACCCGCAGAAGAAGCACCGGCUAACUCCGUGCCAGCAGCCGCGGUAAUACGGAGGGUGCAAGCGUUAAUCGGAAUUACUGGGCGUAAAGCGCACGCAGGCGGUUUGUUAAGUCAGAUGUGAAAUCCCCGGGCUCAACCUGGGAACUGCAUCUGAUACUGGCAAGCUUGAGUCUCGUAGAGGGGGGUAGAAUUCCAGGUGUAGCGGUGAAAUGCGUAGAGAUCUGGAGGAAUACCGGUGGCGAAGGCGGCCCCCUGGACGAAGACUGACGCUCAGGUGCGAAAGCGUGGGGAGCAAACAGGAUUAGAUACCCUGGUAGUCCACGCCGUAAACGAUGUCGACUUGGAGGUUGUGCCCUUGAGGCGUGGCUUCCGGAGCUAACGCGUUAAGUCGACCGCCUGGGGAGUACGGCCGCAAGGUUAAAACUCAAAUGAAUUGACGGGGCCCGCACAAGCGGUGGAGCAUGUGGUUUAAUUCGAUGCAACGCGAAGAACCUUACCUGGUCUUGACAUCCACGGAAGUUUUCAGAGAUGAGAAUGUGCCUUCGGGAACCGUGAGACAGGUGCUGCAUGGCUGUCGUCAGCUCGUGUUGUGAAAUGUUGGGUUAAGUCCCGCAACGAGCGCAACCCUUAUCCUUUGUUGCCAGCGGUCCGGCCGGGAACUCAAAGGAGACUGCCAGUGAUAAACUGGAGGAAGGUGGGGAUGACGUCAAGUCAUCAUGGCCCUUACGACCAGGGCUACACACGUGCUACAAUGGCGCAUACAAAGAGAAGCGACCUCGCGAGAGCAAGCGGACCUCAUAAAGUGCGUCGUAGUCCGGAUUGGAGUCUGCAACUCGACUCCAUGAAGUCGGAAUCGCUAGUAAUCGUGGAUCAGAAUGCCACGGUGAAUACGUUCCCGGGCCUUGUACACACCGCCCGUCACACCAUGGGAGUGGGUUGCAAAAGAAGUAGGUAGCUUAACCUUCGGGAGGGCGCUUACCACUUUGUGAUUCAUGACUGGGGUGAAGUCGUAACAAGGUAACCGUAGGGGAACCUGCGGCUGGAUCACCUCCUUAGAUCUGGAUCCCCUCUAGAGUCGAC